rnacentral:rRNA from 1 species
GUACGGGGACAACAUUCCGAAAGGGAUGCUAAUACCGGAUGUGACGCCCCUAUCGCAUGACGGGAGCGUGAAAGAUGGCCUCUACAUGUAAGCUAUCGCUAAAGGAUGGGCCUGCGUCUGAUUAGCUAGUUGGUAGUGUAACGGACAACCAAGGCGAUGAUCAGUAGCCGGUCUGAGAGGAUGAACGGCCACAUUGGGACUGAGACACGGCCCAG